rnacentral:lncRNA from 1 species
UCUCAUGACCACUGAAGUUCUUUCACUUUGGGACCCUCGUCUGUACAUUUGUGAUGUUGUAACUACUUUUUGGGAACUAAUAAAUCUGAAUCUGGAAAAGG